ACACGGCCCAGACUCCUACGGGAGGCAGCAGUGGGGAAUUUUGGACAAUGGGGGCAACCCUGAUCCAGCCAUGCCGCGUGCGGGAAGAAGGCCUUCGGGUUGUAAACCGCUUUUAGUCGGGAAGAAAAGGCACGUCCGAAUACGGCGUGUUCUUGACGGUACCGGCGGAAAUAAGCACCGGCUAACUACGUGCCAGCAGCCGCGGUAAUACGUAGGGUGCGAGCGUUAAUCGGAAUUACUGGGCGUAAAGCGUGCGCAGGCGGUUCGUCGUGUCCGAUGUGAAAGCCCCGGGCUCAACCUGGGAAUGGCAUAGGAAACUGGCGGGCUGGAGUGUGGCAGAGGGGGGUGGAAUUCCGCGUGUAGCGGUGAAAUGCGUAGAGAUGCGGAGGAACACCGAUGGCGAAGGCAGCCCCCUGGGCUGACACUGACGCUCAGGCACGAAAGCGUGGGGAGCAAACAGGAUUAGAUACCCUGGUAGUCCACGCCCUAAACCAUGUCAACUGGGUGUUCGGGAAGCGAUUCCUGAGUACCGUAGCUAACGCGUGAAGUUGACCGCCUGGGGAGUACGGCCGCAAGGUUAAAACUCAAAGGAAUUGACGGGGACCCGCACAAGCGGUGGAUGAUGUGGAUUAAUUCGAUGCAACGCGAACAACCUUACCUACCCUUGACAUGUCUGGAACCCUGCUGAGAGGCGGGGGUGCCCGAAAGGGAACCGGAACACAGGUGCUGCAUGGCUGUCGUCAGCUCGUGUCGUGAGAUGUUGGGUUAAGUCCCGCAACGAGCGCAACCCUUGUCCCUAGUUGCUACGCAAGGGCACUCUAGGGAGACUGCCGGUGACAAACCGGAGGAAGGUGGGGAUGACGUCAAGUCCUCAUGGCCCUUAUGGGUAGGGCUUCACACGUCAUACAAUGGCCGGUACAGAGGGUUGCCAAACCGCGAGGUGGAGCCAAUCCCAGAAAGCCGAUCGUAGUCCGGAUCGGAGUCUGCAACUCGACUCCGUGAAGUCGGAAUCGCUAGUAAUCGCGGAUCAGCAUGUCGCGGUGAAUACGUUCCCGGGUCUUGUACACACCGCCCGUCACACCAUGGGAGUGGGGUGCACCAGAAGUAGGUAGGCUAACCGCAAGGAGGCCGCCUACCACGGUACGCUUCAUGACUG
rnacentral:rRNA from 1 species